AACACACAUGCACAUAAUGAGAGUGAUGAAGAGAUAUUCUCAAUUAGCUCUGAUGCUUUGCUUUCUCUGCCUGGAAAUUGUUUGCCUUUGCAAAAGUGAUGGUUCCAUUUGCAGAGAAUUAGAAAGGAAGGCACUUGUUGAUUUCAAACAAGGCCUUAAAGAUCCUAAUGGAUUUCUCUCGUCUUGGAUUGGCCUGGAUUGCUGCUCUUGGAGUGGCGUGCGUUGUCACAACCACACCGGACAUAUUGUAAGGAUUGAUUUACAGUACUCUUUUAUGUUGAUAGGUGAGAUCCAGCCUUUGCUUGUCUUGAAUCACUUGAGAUACUUAGAUCUUAGUGGGAACUUCUUUGAAGAUGAUAGAAUUCCAGCUUAUCUUGGUUCACUAGUGAGUCUUCAAUAUCUCAACCUUUCUCAUGCCAAUUUGAGUGGGCGUGUGCCACACCAACUUGGUAAUUUGUCUAGGUUGCGCUAUCUGGAUCUUUCAUCAAAUUCUCUUUAUGUGAAUUCUCUUCAUGUGAUUGGAAGCCAUUGGCUCACAAAUCUUUCUUCUCUUCAAUACUUGAAUUUGGAUUUUGUGAAUCAUUCCAAGGCAACAAAUGUGCUCAAAGUACUGAGCACACUUCCUUUGAUAUCUGAGAUACACUUGCAUGAUUGUGAGCUUCAUAUCCCUCUUUCACUUGGUGCACACAUUAACUUCACAAAUCUUCAAUUCCUUGAUCUUUCCUCUAACAGUGGCAUUAACUCUACUGUUCCUCUUUGGUUGUUCCAGUUGAGUGGCCUUGAGUAUCUUGAUCUUAGUGAUAAUAAUUUUCAAGAUCUUAUCCCUCAUGCUAUUGGGAAACUUACUUCUCUCAGGGUCCUCACCCUCGAAUACAAUGAAGUCCCAAGUAUUAGACUACCACCUACUCUAGGGGAACUUUGUAACUUGAGCAUACUUACUCUGUCUGGGAAUAAUUAUAUUCCAAGUGAUCUAAAUGGAUUAGGAGAAAUUUUUUCAGGGUGCAUUAAAAAUAGUUUGGAGGAGUUGUAUUGGAGUGGUGCAAAACUCACUGGGCAGUUGCCAAUUUGGUUAGCGAAGCUCAAAUCUCUCAAGACUCUUGAUCUUUCUUUCAAUUCAUUGUAUGGGUCAUUUAUUCAAUUCCGACUACCAUCUAUGCAAGAGUUAAGCCUUGGGGGAAAUCAAUUGAAUGGAACUAUUCUAAAAUAUUUGGGGCAAUUAUUUCCAAAGUUGGUCAAAUUAGAUCUUUCGUAUAAUAAUCUAGCUGGCAUUUUGACAGAAGCACACUUCGAUAAUCUCACAAAUCUAGAAUCUUUAGACAUGAAUUCAAAUGCAUUUGAAUUGAUACUGAGACCUAAGUGGGUUCCUCCACUUGAACUAAAAUAUUUGGAUAUGAGUGACAGCAAAUUAGGACCGAAAUUUCCAUCAUGGCUUCAAAAGUUGAAGAAAGUUUCUUAUAUUAAAAUGUCAAAUGCAAGAAUUAUGGAUGCAUUACCAGUUUGGUUUUGGAACUUCUCUUCUAAUAUUGAAAAUGUAGAUCUAUCUCACAAUGAGAUUAGAGGCAAGCUACCAGCAGGUUCAGCAAAAUUAACCAAUCUUGAAAUUUUGGAUUUAAGUCAUAAUAAUUUGGAAGGACAGUUGCCACAAUUUUCAUCAAAUUUAGUAGAUUUGGAUCAGGCGCAUGGCUUAUUCUCAACGUCCACUUUCUCUAAUACAAGCAUUAUAGUGCCAAGUUUGUUUCAGUUGUAUAUUUAUUCAAACAAAAUAAUGGGAAGUAUUCCCAAAACAUUAUGCACGCUAAGUUAUUUGGCAGUUCUUGACCUCUCACAUAAUAUGAUUGAAGGAGUAGUUCCUGAUUGUUGGAAUCUUUCUUUAUAUUCAUGGUUGGGUGUAAUGGAUUUGUCUCAUAACAAUUUAUUCGGGAUCAUUCCCGCUUCCAUCAGCUCCACAAAUUUGUAUUUUUUGGAUUUGAGUAAUAAUGCAUUUUUUGGUGAGCUCCCAGCUUCUUUUAAAAAUUGCACAUCAUUGUAUGUUUUAGAUCUUGGAUAUAAUAACAUUUGUGGAAGCAUACCAACAUGGCUUGCAGAAAACUCAAAAUAUGAUCUGGAGAUGCUUGAGCUGCGAAAUAAUAUGCUUACUGGAUCUAUUCCUCCACAAUUGGUAAACCUCAUCUAUCUACAUGUUAUUGAUGUUUCAAAUAACCAUCUAUCAGGUGCCAUACCACAUAGUUUUGGCAACUUCAGUGCCAUGAAAACUGGUAUGGGAGUACCUUCGAUUUCGGUAGGUGGUUAUAGGAGUAAUAUUGAGAUAAAUUUAAAAGGAAGAGAUGUGCAAUUGGAAUGGCUGUCUGAAAUACUUAUUUGCAUUGACCUCUCGAAUAACAUGUUAUCAGGAGAGAUACCUGAAGAACUAGGGCAACUUUCUUUGCUGCAGAGUUUGAAUUUAUCCAAAAAUCAAUUAUCAGGACAACUUUCAGAGAAAAUCGGCCAGCUCAGGUGGUUGGAAGUUCUUGAUUUAUCAGUGAAUAAUCUUUCAGGUGUUAUUCCUCCGACAAUGACCAACUUAACAUCAUUGAAUCAUCUGAAUUUAUCUUACAACAAUUUCUAUGGUGAAAUUCCAUACGGUGGCCAAUUGCAAGUUCUUCCAGAUCCAUCUAUUUAUAAUGGCAACCAAGGUCUGUGUGGUUAUCCAUUAGAUAAAAAAUGUGAGAUUACAGCACCAGCACAACCACCCUCAUUGCCAAACAAUGAAGACGAUGACAACAACUUGGAGACCAUAUGGUUUUAUUUGAGCAUGUCACUGGGAUUCAUAUUUGGAUUUUGGGUAAUUUCUGGUGCAUUGAUUCUGAAAAAGAGGUGGAGGUAUGCUUAUUUUCGAUUUAUUGAUCAUAUUUAUGAUAAGAUUUAUGUUAUUGUUGCUGUAAAUCUAAAUAAAAUGAAGAGAAAAUGUGGCCUUGCUAGUGAAUAGUGUUACCUUUUUUUCUUGGAGGCCAAAAUAAAAUAUUACAAUCCAUAUAAGUAUUACAAGGGCAAGUAAUUAGUAGUACGAGGUUAUCUAGAGUUCAGUAUUUUACUGCCUGCUUGUAUUAAUUAUAUGCAUAAACUGUCAUGAGAACUCUUUUGAGAAUGUAAUUUUAAUUUGUUAUGAAAUGUUAUCCAGUGUAUUUAUUUAUUCUCUUAUGUUAAUGUUAGUGUUAAUAGAGCAUAUUAUAUGUAAGUCGAAGACAUCAAUGUGCUUGAUCUUCCUGUGUUAGUGAAAGUUUUCAGUGAGUAUAUAUAUACUUGACAAAGCUUCUCAAAAGACAAAGCUUCAUCAGAAGUGAUCCUGGUUCUUUAAUUCUUCAACUAGUUUCUAUGUUUUCUGCAAGUUCGCCUUAAUUUCUCUUGAAUAUACCUCAUCAUCAAAAAUUCUGGAGAUAUGCCCCAUGUGGUUCUAUAAAUUACCUUUUCUAAGAGAAUGACAAUUUGAUCAAGCUAGCAAUUUCUUACGUUAUAUAUGAUCUGCAUGCAGCAUGCCAACAAUAUAAUACAAUACAAAGUGGCAUGCAACCAUAUAUCAACCAUGAUUUUACAAGGGAGAUACAUCUAUAUAUAAUAUAUCUAUUGUUCUGGCUCUUAAUUAAUAUGCUUCAAAGCAUGCACACAAUCCGGCCCAUAUAUUUACAUGGAUGUGGGAAUUACAAAAAGGAUCCAUCGUUUGAAUGCAUUUGGGUUGAGGAUCAUGAAGCUAAACAUAGAGUUUGCCUUACAUCAAUGUUGUGGUAUUUUCAUACUUCUCUUGGGAGUAAAGCAGUAAUUGUCCAAGUGAUAUAAGAGGUUUGUUAAUUAGACAUGCUUUUUUAUUAUCUGUGCUUUAAA